UGGGGAAUUUUGGACAAUGGGCGCAAGCCUGAUCCAGCCAUGCCGCGUGCGGGAAGAAGGCCUUCGGGUUGUAAACCGCUUUUGUCAGGGAAGAAAUCUUCUGAGUUAAUACCUCGGGAGGAUGACGGUACCUGAAGAAUAAGCACCGGCUAACUACGUGCCAGCAGCCGCGGUAAUACGUAGGGUGCAAGCGUUAAUCGGAAUUACUGGGCGUAAAGCGUGCGCAGGCGGUUUUGUAAGACAGAGGUGAAAUCCCCGGGCUCAACCUGGGAACUGCCUUUGUGACUGCAAGGCUUGAGUGCGGCAGAGGGGGAUGGAAUUCCGCGUGUAGCAGUGAAAUGCGUAGAUAUGCGGAGGAACACCGAUGGCGAAGGCAAUCCCCUGGGCCUGCACUGACGCUCAUGCACGAAAGCGUGGGGAGCAAACAGGAUUAGAUACCCUGGUAGUCCACGCCCUAAACGAUGUCAACUGGUUGUUGGGAAGGUUCCUUCUCAGUAACGUAGCUAACGCGUGAAGUUGACCGCCUGGGGAGUACGGCCGCAAGGUUGAAAGCUUAAA
rnacentral:rRNA from 1 species